rnacentral:sRNA from 12 species
AAAGCGGUAUCAUAAGGCCUGGUGACCUUGGCCCUUCGUAGAAGGGACCUAGCUCCUGCUGAAAUGCAGGAGGACAGAUUGAAAUCAAGGCCCAGGGUGAGCCGCUUU